rnacentral:rRNA from 1 species
GGACAGAGGGUGCAAACGUUUGCUCGGGAAUGACUGGGCGUAAAGGGCGCGUAGGCGGAUGGCACAGUCAGAUGUGAAAUUCCCGGGCUUAACCUGGGGGCUGCAUUUGAUACGUGUGAUCUAGAGUGAGGAAGAGGGUCGUGGAAUUCCCAGUGUAGAGGUGAAAUUCGUAGAUAUUGGGAAGAACACCGGUGGCGAAGGCGGCGACCUGGUCCUUGACUGACGCUGAGGCGCGAAAGCGUGGGGAGCAAACAGG